AAGACUAUACUUUCAGGGAUCAUUUCUAUAGUUAUUGACAUGGAAAUGCGUUUCUAAAGUGUUGUGUCUCGCUACCCACGAUGAUGAGUAUCGAUGUUCUCCUCUGAGCGCGAAUCGGAUAGAAGUUGUUGGAAUUAUCCAUGUGACUUCUGUCAUUGAUGAACGUUCCCAUGGAUUUCGGUCUUUGGGAGGAGGAGGACAUGAUCAGAGUGGU